AGUCAGGGUGAUUUGGCUGUGGCAUUUCUUGCCCCAUUUUGCGCCGAAUUGAUCUGGCUGGUUGGGGAGGUAUCUCUGUGGGCCAUUACCGCUCUUAUAUGCAUCCUUCCCGAAGCUGCGCGGUCGCGAUCGGUCAAAGAGGACUACCUUGACCGAAUAGCGGAGGAUCGUACCGGUCUUCGGUCAAGGUUAUAUACCUAGUAGCUGUGGAUCAGAAUUACCGCGUUUCCACUAGAACCUCUGAUUAAGCUUUUAAGGUCCACUGCAGAUUCUCUUCUGAGAUAAACAAUAUUAGCUGUUUUU
rfam:Mesocricetus auratus contig190111, whole genome shotgun sequence.